UGGGGAAUAUUGCACAAUGGGGGGAACCCUGAUGCAGCGACGCCGCGUGAGCGAUGAAGGAAUUCGUUUCGUAAAGCUCUGUCCUUGGAGAAGAUAAUGACGGUAAUCAAGGAGGAAGCACCGGCUAAAUACGUGCCAGCAGCCGCGGUAAUACGUAUGGUGCGAGCGUUGUCCGGAAUUAUUGGGCGUAAAGGGUACGUAGGCGGUUUGCCAAGUCAGAUGUUAAAACUUGAGGCUUAACCUCAUGUUGCAUUUGAAACUGUCAAACUUGAGUAGUGGAGAGGAAAGUGGAAUUCCUAGUGUAGCGGUGAAAUGCGUAGAUAUUAGGAGGAAUACCAGUAGCGAAGGCGACUUUCUGGACACAAACUGACGCUGAGGUACGAAAGCGUGGGGAGCAAACAGG
rnacentral:rRNA from 1 species